CCUACGGGUGGCUGCAGUGAGGAAUAUUGGUCAAUGGCCGGAAGGCUGAACCAGCCAAGCCGCGUGAAGGACGAAGGUGCCAAGCAUUGUAAACUUCUUUUGUCAAGGGACAAAAUCAGGCUCGAGAGCCUGACCGAGGGUACUUGAAGAAAAAGCAUCGGCUAACUCCGUGCCAGCAGCCGCGGUAAUACGGAGGAUGCGAGCGUUAUCCGGAUUUAUUGGGUUUAAAGGGUGCGUAGGCGGACUGUUAAGUCAGCGGUAAAAGCCCGGGGCUCAACCCCGGCGAGCCGUUGAAACUGGCUGUCUUGAGAUGUCGAGAGGUAUGCGGAAUGCGCAGUGUAGCGGUGAAAUGCGUAGAUAUCAGGAGGAAUACCGUUAGCGAAGGCGGCAAUCUGGCUGGAAACUGACGCUGAGGUGCGAAAGCGUGGGUAGCAAACAGGAUUAGAUACCCCGGUAGUC
rnacentral:rRNA from 1 species